ensembl:lncRNA LINC01692 long intergenic non-protein coding RNA 1692
AGAGCGGACGCAGAGGCCAAGGAGGCGCCGAGAGCCCAGAGCGAGCAAGGGCUGCUAGCACGUUUUCACCUCUCAAUAGGAGGAAGUAAAGGAAAUUUUACCUACAAAAUAGCAAUACUAAGCUUUACAGCUGACAUUACAACAGCAACAAGAAAAGGCUAGUGAUAUGCAGUAUGAUGCUCUCUCCAGAUGCUAGGCAGUCAGCCAGCAAAUCAGUAGGAUAAACAACCGACGUUCUUCAGCGUACCGUGUUGUCAGAUGAUUCUGCCCAGCUGCAGGCUAAUAUGCAGUUUACAGAGAUGCACACCAACUCUGGACAGAAAAAGAAGUAAUUUACAACUACUCUGUGCAGAAAACAGGCAAAUUAUUAAAUUUCCACUGGUUCUCUUUGGAAAAGUAAAGGGUGUAAUGCUUAUAAAGGAAAAAUGGCAAUAGCUGGGACAUCUUAGGGCUUAGACCUUCCUACACUUCUUAGAGUUGUUGGGAUGAGACAGUAAAAGAUCUCAGACUGCCUGUACAGUAGGUCUUAACUGUAAUAAUGGAUCUUUGGCUCUCUAGGAGAUAGUUCCUUCAAAGAGAUGAAUUCCCAUGGGAAAAAAAUAUCAAUGAAACGUUAACUAGUACCAAGGUUUUUAUAGCCUUAGAUUGGGUUUACGUAGCUGUGACUUCAUCCCGCUGCAGAAUGUGAAACAAACAAUCUAGGUAUAUUUUUUUGUGUUUAUCCUUGUGUGCCAUGGAAAACUUCACUAGAUACUAUGUAGAGAACUGGGAAGAAUUAUAGAGAUGUUAUCUUAGUAAUGGUGCAGGAGAUGCUGUGGAUUUAGGUGUACUCCUUAAAGGAGUCAUGGUUGUGUGAGUCAAACUUGAAUCAUUCAGAGGGAGAACAUCCACUGGCCCCAACCCAGAAAGCAGUGUGACUGGCACUGUUGAGAGAAGGGAUUCUCAAAACUGCCAUAGAUAGUGUCAGUCAUGAUAUUCUCACAGCCUGAUGGACCAGACACAUUUAAAGUCUGUUUGAUUGAGGCAUUGGAAACUGAAAGCAAAUGUACCUUGCCUGUUAGCUGCAAGCCACUCUCUACUGAUGUGAUCAUCUUCUACCCUAGCCUCAGAUGCUUUAAGAAAGAUGAAUAGAACUGGGACCAAGAUGCCUCUGUCUCCAAAGAAAAAUUAAAAUGACAUGCACACAUUCAAGUUUGCAGGGAAACUUUGACCCUGGAAUCUAGAACCCUGUAGGUAAGCUACAGCAGACCACUGAAUGUGCUACACUGUGAAACAUUUCAGUGAAUUAUGUAUGAGUAUUUAUGCAAAUGCAUGUCUGGGGCAAUAUAUAAUAUAGCCCAUUUUCCA